GCAUUAAUGGGGUAGUGGUAACCUGGGUCGUUGCCAUAUGCAUCGACGGAAUUAGAGCAUUCUGGUUCGACCCGCCGGGGGUUCGAUUCCCCCUUAAUGCA